rnacentral:rRNA from 1 species
UGCAGUCGAGGGGUAACAGAGAAGCUUGCUUUUGCUGACGACCGGCGCACGGGUGCGUAACGCGUAUGCAACCUACCUCAUACUGGAGGAUAGCCCUUGGAAACGAGGAUUAAUACUCCAUGGUAUCAUUUUUUCGCAUGUUAAGAUGAUUAAAGAAUUUCGGUAUGAGAUGGGCAUGCGUCCCAUUAGCUAGUUGGUGAGGUAAUGGCUCACCAAGGCUACGAUGGGUAGGGGGCCUGAGAGGGUGGUCCCCCACACUGGUACUGAGACACGGACCAGACUCCUACGGGAGGCAGCAGUGAGGAAUAUUGGUCAAUGGAGGCAACUCUGAACCAGCCAUGCCGCGUGAAGGAUGACGGCCCUAUGGGUUGUAAACUUCUUUCAUAGAGGAAGAAACUUAUCUACGUGUAGAUAACUGACGGUACUCUACGAAUAAGGAUCGGCUAACUCCGUGCCAGCAGCCGCGGUAAUACGGAGGAUCCAAGCGUUAUCCGGAUUCAUUGGGUUUAAAGGGUCCGUAGGCGGGUCUUUAAGUCAGUGGUGAAAGCCGACAGCUCAACUGUCGAACUGCCAUUGAUACUGGAGGCCUUGAGUGCAAAUGAAGUGGGCGGAAUGAGUCAUGUAGCGGUGAAAUGCUUAGAUAUGACUUAGAACACCGAUUGUGAAGGCAGCUCACUAACAUGCAACUGACGCUGAGGGACGAAAGCGUGGGGAGCGAACAGGAUUAGAUACCCUGGUAGAAGGGC